rnacentral:rRNA from 1 species
AACGAACGCUGGCGGCAUGCCUAACACAUGCAAGUCGAACGAGAUCUUCGGGUCUAGUGGCGCACGGGUGCGUAACGCGUGGGAAUCUGCCCUUUGGUUCGGAAUAACAGUUGGAAACGACUGCUAAUACCGGAUGAUGACGAAAGUCCAAAGAUUUAUCGCCAGAGGAUGAGCCCGCGUAGGAUUAGCUAGUUGGUGUGGUAAGGGCCCACCAAGGCGACGAUCCUUGGCUGGUCUGAGAGGAUGAUCGGCCACACUGGGACUGAGACACGGCCCAGACUCCUACGGGAGGCAGCAGUGGGGAAUAUUGGACAAUGGGCGAAAGCCUGAUCCAGCAAUGCCGCGUGAGUGAUGAAGGCCUUACGGUUGUAAAGCUCUUUUACCCGGGAUGAUAAUGACAGUACCGGGAGAAUAAGCUCCGGCUAACUCCGUGCCAGCCGCCGCCGUAACAC